rnacentral:hammerhead_ribozyme from 1 species
AUCCAGAUGAUGAGUCCAAAGUGGGACGAAAUGUGCAUCCUAGAU